rnacentral:rRNA from 1 species
UACAGAGGGUGCGAGCGUUGUCCGGAAUCACUGGGCGUAAAGGGCGCGUAGGCGGCCUGAUAAGUAGGGGGUGAAAUCUUGCGGCUCAACCGCAAGGCUGCCUUCUAAACUGUCAGGCUGGAGCACGGUAAAGGCAGAUGGAAUUCCCGGUGUAGCGGUGGAAUGCGUAGAGAUCGGGAAGAACACCAGUGGCGAAGGCGGUCUGCUGGGCCGUUGCUGACGCUGAGGCGCGACAGCGUGGGGAGCAAACAGG